GCCGGGCGAGAUGGCACAUGCCUGUAGUCCCAGCUACUCAGGAGGCUGAGGUGGGAGGAUUGCUUGAGCCCAGGAGUUCUGGGCUGUAGUGCGCUAUGCUGAUCAGGUAUCCACACUAAGUUCAGCAUCAAUAUGGUGACCUUCCUGGAGCGGGGUGCCACCAGGUUGCCUAAGGAGGGGUGAACCUGCCCAUGUCAGAAAUGGAGCAGGUCAAAUCUCCUGUGCUGAUCAGUAGUGGGAUCGCACCUGUGAAUAGCCACUGCACUCCAGCCUGGGCAACAUAGUGAGACCCUGUCUCU
rnacentral:SRP_RNA from 1 species